GCCUGUAAGACUGGGAUAACUCCGGGAAACCGGGGCUAAUACCGGAUGCUUGUUUGAACCGCAUGGUUCAAACAUAAAAGGUGGCUUCGGCUACCACUUACAGAUGGACCCGCGGCGCAUUAGCUAGUUGGUGAGGUAACGGCUCACCAAGGCAACGAUGCGUAGCCGACCUGAGAGGGUGAUCGGCCACACUGGGACUGAGACACGGCCCAGACUCCUACGGGAGGCAGCAGUAGGGAAUCUUCCGCAAUGGACGAAAGUCUGACGGAGCAACGCCGCGUGAGUGAUGAAGGUUUUCGGAUCGUAAAGCUCUGUUGUUAGGGAAGAACAAGUACCGUUCGAAUAGGGCGGUACCUUGACGGUACCUAACCAGAAAGCCACGGCUAACUACGUGCCAGCAGCCGCGGUAAUACGUAGGUGGCAAGCGUUGUCCGGAAUUAUUGGGCGUAAAGGGCUCGCAGGCGGUUCCUUAAGUCUGAUGUGAAAGCCCCCGGCUCAACCGGGGAGGGUCAUUGGAAACUGGGGAACUUGAGUGCAGAAGAGGAGAGUGGAAUUCCACGUGUAGCGGUGAAAUGCGUAGAGAUGUGGAGGAACACCAGUGGCGAAGGCGACUCUCUGGUCUGUAACUGACGCUGAGGAGCGAAAGCGUGGGGAGCGAACAGGAUUAGAUACCCUGGUAGUCCACGCCGUAAACGAUGAGUGCUAAGUGUUAGGGGGUUUCCGCCCCUUAGUGCUGCAGCUAACGCAUUAAGCACUCCGCCUGGGGAGUACGGUCGCAAGACUGAAACUCAAAGGAAUUGACGGGGGGCCCGCACAAGCGGUGGAGCAUGUGGUUUAAUUCGAAGCAACGCGAAGAACCUUACCAGGUCUUGACAUCCUCUGACAAUCCUAGAGAUAGGACGUCCCCUUCGGGGGCAGAGUGACAGGUGGUGCAUGGUUGUCGUCAGCUCGUGUCGUGAGAUGUUGGGUUAAGUCCCGCAACGAGCGCAACCCUUGAUCUUAGUUGCCAGCAUUCAGUUGGGCACUCUAAGGUGACUGCCGGUGACAAACCGGAGGAAGGUGGGGAUGACGUCAAAUCAUCAUGCCCCUUAUGACCUGGGCUACACACGUGCUACAAUGGACAGAACAAAGGGCAGCGAAACCGCGAGGUUAAGCCAAUCCCA
rnacentral:rRNA from 1 species